rnacentral:tRNA from 1 species
CGCGGAGUGGAGCAGUGGUAGCUCGUCAGGCUCAUAACCUGAAGGCCGGUGGUUCGAUCCCAUCCUCCGCAA